rnacentral:misc_RNA from 1 species
GUCUCAAUUAACAAUACCCCAAAACAAAACCAAAAUUAUGUUACAACCAAAUUACAUCUAUUUUCAAUCCUUCCAGUAUCCCCUGAGAGAAAAUUCCUGCAAAUCCUUUCCCAGCACUUCCUGUCAGGUUCAGCUAUUUCCAAUCCAAGCUUGGCAUUUUCAGCAAACUCAACCUGAAAAUUUAUCAAAGUAUGAGUGUCUGCUGAAAUUUAAAGAUUUAUAGUAAAAUAAGAAAAACCCAGUGUGUUUUAAUUACCUCUAUGGAAUUGCUGUUGAGAAGGCGAUCAAUGAGGCUAUAAAGAAUGUCUUUGGUGUACUCAGGAUGGCCUUGAAUGCCCAAUACAUGGUCUCCAAUGGUGAACAUUUCCACUCCUGUUUUAUCUGAGAAAGCAAUUACUUCAGCUCCUAAUGGAACUUCCCAUACCUCAUCUUGGUGGCACUCAAUUAUUGAUAGUGAAGCUGGGAUUUCACUUAAGUUGCUAAGGAAAUUGCAUGGUGACAAAUCCUUCACUAUUCUCACUUUCCUUAGUCCAAUAUCCCACCCUGUGUAUGCUUUCCCUACCUUUCCACCUAAUGCUCUACACAGAACCUGAUGGCCAAAGCAAAUGCCAAGAACUUUUAUUUCCAUGGCAUCAAGAGUUUGCAAGAGGAAACAAAGCUUGAGAAUCCAAAAGUCAUUUCCAUAGGCAUCAUAAGGGCUACCACUGACUACAAACCCAUCAUAUUUAGGAAGGUCAUUCAUGUCAGGGAACUCUCCAUCAACAACCCUAAACAAAUCCCAUCUCUCACCUUCUUCACCAAAAGCUGCAACAAACACAUUGAAGUAUCCUCCAUACACCUUCUUCACAUAAUCAGAGUCUCUUGCUGCUAGCAGAAGAGCAUAUCUUUUCUCAGCUGUAACCUUCAUGAUCAUAUAUAUAUGAUGAAGAAUUCAAGAGAAGAAAUUAGAAAUAAUGGAACCUGAAGACCAAGAAAUUGGCUGAGAAGCUAGAAGAGGUAGUGUUUUUUAU